UACGUAGGUGGCAAGCGUUGUCCGAAUUUACUGGGUGUAAAGCGCGUGUAGGCGGAAUUGUAAGUCAGAUGUGAAAACUCGUGGCUCAACUGCGAGACUGCAUUUGAAACUAUAAUUCUUGAGUUACGGAGAGGAAAGUGGAAUUCCUAGUGUAGCGGUGGAAUGCAUAGAUAUUAGGAGGAACAUCAGUGGCGAAGGCGGCUUUCUGGACGAUAACUGACGCUGAGACGCGAAAGCGUGGGGAG
rnacentral:rRNA from 1 species